UGCCUAACACAUGCAAGUCGAGCGAUGAAGCCCUUCGGGGUGAAUUAGCGGCGGACGGGUGAGUAACACGUGGGUAACCUGCCUUAUAGAGGGGGAUAGCCUUCCGAAAGGAAGAUUAAUACCGCAUGAAAUGUUUUUAUCGCAUGGUAGAAACAUCAGAGGAGUAAUCCGCUAUAAGAUGGACCCGCGGCGCAUUAGCUAGUUGGUGAGGUAACGGCCCACCAAGGCGACGAUGCGUAGCCGACCUGAGAGGGUGGUCGGCCACAUUGGAACUGAGACACGGUCCAGACUCCUACGGGAGGCAGCAGUGGGGAAUAUUGCGCAAUGGGGGAAACCCUGACGCAGCAACGCCGCGUGAAUGAAGAAGGCCUUAGGGUUGUAAAGUUC
rnacentral:rRNA from 1 species